CCUACGGGGGGCUGCAGUGGGGAAUAUUGGACAAUGGGCGAAAGCCUGAUCCAGCCAUGCCGCGUGUGUGAAGAAGGCCUUCGGGUUGUAAAGCACUUUCAGUGGGGAAGAAAGCCUUGGGGCUAAUACCCUCGAGGAAGGACAUCACCCACAGAAGAAGCACCGGCUAACUCCGUGCCAGCAGCCGCGGUAAUACGGAGGGUGCGAUCGUUAAUCGGAAUUACUGGGCGUAAAGCGCGCGUAGGCGGUCUGAUAAGCCGGUUGUGAAAGCCCCGGGCUCAACCUGGGAACGGCAUCCGGAACUGUCAGGCUAGAGUGCAGGAGAGGAAGGUAGAAUUCCCGGUGUAGCGGUGAAAUGCGUAGAGAUCGGGAGGAAUACCAGUGGCGAAGGCGGCCUUCUGGACUGACACUGACGCUGAGGUGCGAAAGCGUGGGUAGCAAACAGGAUUAGAUACCCCAGUAGUC
rnacentral:rRNA from 1 species